rnacentral:lncRNA from 1 species
CAUGUGGUGAUCUGCACGUAUUAUGAACAUACAUACUAAGGCUUUAGUUCAAAUAAAUUAGUCCUAUUGAAUUAGUAAGGUUGUGCUGAUUAUUAGUCCGACCAUGCAAGUACAAGAAAAUCAAUACAGUAGUGCAAGGUCAUACAAGAAAACUGGUCCUACAAAACUAAUUCUUUUAGUGUUCAGAAUUUAUCACCUCAAAUUUGUUAGAACCGUACAGGCCAAAAACAUUUUCUGCAAAUACAAUAUAUGCAGAACUUGGUUCUGUUUAUAGUACACAUGCCUACAAGCUUAGCUGCUUCAGUUCGCUGGGAAUUACCUGGUCAGUCAGGCUCCUUUAGUUCUACAAAAUUAACAUAUACUGAGAUCUGUUCAAGCUCCUUCUUAAAAAAUAGCUAUAUUAGACGGUUCCCAAAUUCAACAAAAGAUGGGUUCAGCCAUGCGUACUAUCAAAGACCUGACCACUUGAAUUUAAAGCAAGAUGACGGUUUUAUGUAGGACCAAACAAGGGCGCAGGUGACAAGAUCUCUGCAAAAAUCAAGCCAUUCAAAUGCAUUUGAGAUGAAAAUACAUCAUGCAGGGACAAAUGGUAUUAGCUACGCUGUCGUUAUUCUACUUUGUUUCUUGAGCAGUGACUCAAUUAAUAUUCUCACUAAUCCAGUUUACUCAAGAACUUCUGAACCAGUUCCAGGACUCCUAUGGACUAAGGUACUCUAGCUGCUUGCAUCUUUCAGAGGAUCUAAUUAGAACCAAUUCUAUGGGUGGUUUAUCUUUUUAAAACUAUUAGCAUUCACUCAGUGGAGAAGUGCAAGCAGGAGCUGACUUCAGUUGGAAUAAGUGUGCUAGAAAAUGUGGCCAAUAGAUUGUACGUCGGCAAAGUACGAACUGAAACACUUGAGGAACCCAGUGUUAAAAAUGGAUGUUAAAUUCAGACCUUAUCAAUGCAGGGUGUGAAUCCCAAACACUAAACACGAUCUGCAAGCAUAAAAAGAAACAAAUAAUCUUUAGAUUCUCCCCUGCAGAAUAGUAAAAUAAUAACAUUUUGAUUCCUGGACAACUCCUUCCUCCAAAUCACAUUCAGGUGAUCCUUCUCCACUCUCAAAUCCUCCUUCUGGGGCCUAAGAUUUGGAGGGCCGCAUCUCAGAUUCUCAAAUAGAUAAUAGAGCAAGUAGAAACCAAUCCAAUCCAAUCCUCCUGCAGUAGCAGAGAGGGAGCUGCACGAGCGCGAACACGAAUAGAGGACAACAACCAUCCGCUUGUGUGAGAAAUCUGAAUCAGAGGACCAAAUCGAAUAGAGAUAGACGCAUGAGGAGGUGAAGAGGGACGAGAGGGCACCUUGACGAGCUCCGUGGCGUCGACGUCCCGAGAAGAAGCACACGGACGGGGGACGGUCGGCGGGCGGAGCGAUCGCUCACGGACGGGAAGCUCGGGCGCGGGCUCAGCGGCCUCGCGGCACCGACGAGGGGAGGAAGUGGUAGCUGACGCCGGCCAUCGUCGUGGCUCUCCUUGU